GACAGGUUUCAAAGUAUUGUUGACAGUGUCACUGCUGAGCUGUUUUCUGUUGGGUGUGCCUGGUAUGCAGCAACACAUGAGCAUUUACGAAACUUAUAUCACACUAUUAAUGUAUUCUUAUUUAUUUUCUAUUAAUCAGGUUAUGGAGUGUUUGCCACUAAAAACAUUGAGCAAGGAGAAUUCCUGCUGGAGUAUGUUGGAAGACACAUCACUGGAUCUGAAGGAGAGGCACUGAGCUGACGAUGCAGCAUUUCUGUACUUCUACUGUUUUCAGGGACAAUCUUUCUGUGUCGAUGGCAGUAAAGACAAGCAAGACUUGGAAGAUUCAUAAAUGAUGAUCACAUCAAGCCAAACAGCAACAUUAAAAUAAUAUUGGAUGAGCAGAAAAGGCCGCAUCUGUGUGCAUUUUCAAAGUCAAAUAUCAGUGCAGGAGAAGAAAUUGUGUAUGACUGCAGAGACCCUGACUGCCCAUGGAGACAGAAAACCAUUACCUCCUCAUGCAGGGAGCUCCAGGAAAAGGCGGUAAAUCAAAGACCGAAUCCCGCUGGAAGAGUUCAUUAGAAAACCUUGAAUCUCAGCCUGGCGUUACGAAAAUUGGGCAACUUGUUUUUAACAGCAACAAAGGCUGCAAAUGGAUGCAAUGCUGCUGAAAUUUUCCCAGGAGGGCUACGAAGUUGCAGUGAAAAGAGUUGCAAAGCAUAUUUCUGAAAAUGAGAUUAAAAUGGCACAUGUCCUAUGUUCAGAAAAGUUAAAACCAGAACAUCUUUUACAACCAAUUGCAGUGUUGGAAGAUAGUUACUUUGCCUAUUUUGUCUCCCCUCUUUGCGAAUACAGUCUGGUGGAGGUAAUUGAAAACAAGAACUUUCGUGAGAGAGAAAGUUUGACUGAGGCUCGAAGACUGGGGAUCUGCCAGGAGCUACUGCAAGGACUACAUUAAGUCCAUUCACGCGGGAUUUUGCACAGAGACCUGAAGCCUGAAAACAUUUUGUUUGAUAUCAGCAACAAACUGUUUAUCGCAGAUUUUGGAGCAAACAGAAAACUGGAUUUGGCACAGCCAACGUUGCUGUCUCAAAUGGCUGGAUCUUUUUCUUGGUCAAGUUAUGAGGAUGUUGGAGGCAUACAAUACAAGUACAAGAAAGAGUCAGAUAUCCAGGAAAUAGAACCACAGAUCUCCCUUUCCCUUGAUAUGUCAGAGGAAGAAGAUGAUGAUGAUGAUGAACCAACAGAAGUAGAUGAUGAAGUAACCAAGAAAGUCAUCAGAAAAAAGCAGUUAAGACUGGGAUGAAAAAGGAUGAAAAUGUCCUUGAAUGCAGUUUGAAGGGUAUCCAAGUGAAAAUGUCCUCAAACACCGCACACAAACAUGUCUACGACAAGAAAAAUUACUGCUUCUAUUGUCAGAAGCCUUUCGGAAAAGUUUCAAGACACCUGAUGCGAAAACAUCAAGAUGAAGUUGACGUUGCAAAGGCACUUGCACACAAGCAAGGAUCCACAAUGCGCAGCCUUCUUCUGAGCAAAAUAUGGAAUGAGGGAAACUACCGAAAUAACUGUUCAGGCCUAUCCUCUGGUUAAGGACAAAUAGUACCAAAAAAACAAACAACCUACAUGUCAUCAGCAACAGACCAUAUACCAUGC